AAACACCCGCUUUUAGAUGGAGAAACUAAUGAGACAAGUAAAUUUCCCAGUGUCACUAAUCUAGUCGGUGCUGUGGCUGGGACUGACACACAAUUCUCUUGCCUUGCAAUGCAGGCUAUUUCGUGUGCAUCAUGCUGACUCAACAGAAUGAAGGAGGAUAUGGGAUCCAAUAAGAUAGUGUAUUACAGACCACAGACUCACCCCAAGCCCCAUUAGGUGGCUUCCUUUGAAUACAUCUCUCUGAAAAAUUACAUUUGCAAGUUUACCAGCUCUUAAAGGUCACCAGUAAAUUAAACUGCAGUGUGUCAUGUGGGGGCUUAAUGACCAUGAGAGUUAAUGUACCUCUCUAAUUAUCACCUCAAUCACAUAGAAUGGCUUAUUCAUCUUAACCUGACCUAUCACUUGCCUGUUAAUCUGUCCCACCACAAGUUAGUGCUUGUAGGAAAAGAUUCUUAAUGGCUCUCAAAUGGUUAUGUAAGAAUCUACAGUCAACUCCUUGCUUCCAUAUAUGAGUUUGCAAUAUAAAAACAUGAACUGCAGUCUGCUAUCACCUCUCUUCAGUCUACUCUUCUUUAAUGUCCAGCACAUUCUUUGACUUCCUUCUCCCAAGUGCUGAGUCAGUGUGCCUACCCACUGGACUACCAAAAGUAAACCAUAGAAUCAAAAAUCCACUGGAAAAUGCCUCUUCCAAACCAUCAACUGAGGGGGAAAAAAGUUUUAACACAUAAGAUCAAAAAAAAGUGUUGAUAUUAAUAUGUAAAGAGGUCAUAAAAUUAAUAAGAAUAAAGCAAACAUUCUGUAGGAAAGACUUCGGUAGAUGACAGAAUCAGAUAGUGCACUAAAUAAGAUGCAUAAAUUGCUGAUAAACAUGUGAAAAACAUUCAACAGUUUAAUUGAAAACACACAUUUUAAAGUAAAAUGCCUUUUUGUCUAUUAAUUGGUGAAGAAUUUUUUUUAAUUAUACUUUAAGUUCCGGGAUACAUGUGCAGAACAUGCAGUUUGUUACAUAGGUAUACACAUGCCAUGGUGCUUUGUUGCAGCCAUCAACCUGUCAUCCAGGUUUUAAGCCCCGCAUGCAUUAGCUAUGUGUCCUAAUGCUCUCCCUCCCCUUGCCCCCCACCCCUGACAGGCCCCAGUGUGUGAUGUUCCCCUCCCUUUGUCCAUGCAUUCUAUUGGUACAACUGCCACUUAUGAAUAAGAAU
rnacentral:lncRNA from 10 species